ACGAACGCUGGCGGCGUGCUUAACACCUGCAAGUCGAACGGAAAGGCCCUGCUUUUGUGGGGUGCUCGAGUGGCGAACGGGUGAGUAACACGUGAGUAACCUGCCCUUGACCUUGGGAUAACUUCAGGAAACUGGGGCUAAUACCGGAUAGGAGCUCCUGCUGCAUGGUGGGGGUUGGAAAGUUUCGGCGGUUGGGGAUGGACUCGCGGCUUAUCAGCUUGUUGGUGGGGUAGUGGCUUACCAAGGCUUUGACGGGUAGCCGGCCUGAGAGGGUGACCGGCCACAUUGGGACUGAGAUACGGCCCAGACUCCUACGGGAGGCAGCAGUGGGGAAUAUUGCACAAUGGGCGGAAGCCUGAUGCAGCAACGCCGCGUGCGGGAUGACGGCCUUCGGGUUGUAAACCGCUUUCGCCUGUGACGAAGCGUGAGUGACGGUAAUGGGUAAAGAAGCACCGGCUAACUACGUG
rnacentral:rRNA from 1 species